AUACGUAGGUGGCAAGCGUUGUCCGGAAUUACUGGGCGUAAAGGAUGCGUAGGCGGCAUCUUAAGUGGGAUGUGAAAUGCCGGGGCUUAACCCCGGAGGUGCAUUCCAUACUGGGAGGCUAGAGUGCAGGAGAGGAAAGCGGAAUUCCCAGUGUAGCGGUGAAAUGCGUAGAGAUUGGGAGGAACACCAGUGGCGAAGGCGGCUUUCUGGACUGUAACUGACGCUGAGGCAUGAAAGUGUGGGGAGCAAACAGGAUUAGAUACCCUGGUAGUCCACACCGUAAACGAUGGGCACUAGGUGUAGGGGGCGUAGCCCUCUGUGCCGCAGUUAACACAUUAAGUGCCCCGCCUGGGGAGUACGAUCGCAAGAUUAAA
rnacentral:rRNA from 1 species